GACCUGCACAGCCCAGAACUAGGACGAGACGAUGGCCGCAUCACAGCCUCAGAUCUGUCUCCUUGGGACAGCUUCGUGCUGAGCCCUCAGGACCAGUGUUUCUCCCAAGGAAGUGACAAACUCAUCUCAGGUUUUCCAAGUCCCUUCAAGUAACCCAGUUUGAGGAAAAACAGAGUUCCCAUCCGGACUGCAAAGCAGCGUCGGCAAGGACAAGAGACACACCACAGCUCUCCUUCUCAUCACUCCUCCCCAGUGCUGGUGGGAGCCUUGCAGACCCAUGUGGUUUUAGAAAAUUCAUCUCCCCCAAGUCACAGAUAUUGUGGUUUUCCAGUCCUGAAACAUCGAUACGGUCUGAUAGAGUCAGAGGCACGGUGCUUGGCGGGUAGCGAGGAAGACUUUGGUGACGUAAGCAGAACGUGGUCCACGCCUCCGUCUCCGAGGGGAAAGGCAGGCGCAGCAUCAGACACGGGUGGCAGUGAGUCCCAGCGGGACAGACAGUCUUGGGUGGAAAUAAAGAGUUACUAGAUACUGUAA